rnacentral:lncRNA from 1 species
UUAAAUAAAAUUUAUAUUAUUCUCUAUCUAUCUAUACAAAUCACAAGUGAAAACGAGAGCAAACUUGGACAAUAUUUUUCCUGCAGCAACUCUGGGAACUUGCCCAUUGAUGAGUACUAGGCUUCAUUAAAAACUACCAUGAGAAGGGAGCAUAUACAGCCAGAAACAACCCACAAUGAGACGCCAUGCUGCUUGGAGAAAAUGAAUGAAUUACUGAAUUCAUAGAGGAUAACAGCUAAUAACACCUUUUGUUUCUACUUCCCAACUUCUCAUAUAUAUGAUUGCUUUCCUGUAGACAAACCAACUUGCCUCACACUUGAGCUCUUCUUUUGUGUCAACUUGGCUGUGCCAUUGUCAUCAAUUAUCCUUGUCGUUUCCAGAGCUGCUAUUCCAGUUCAUAGCUGGGCCACGCAGCUUAAUUAAUGAGGUUAAAGAUCAUACACCAGAAGAUAAAACUGAUAAGAGUAAUGAAUAUUGCUGGUAUCUCAUCAAUUCUCACCCUUCUCGAAGUGAUCGAGUAUGUUUUUGGCUGCAUCCAAGAAACCCUAUGCCUCGCUCCCUCCCUCCCUCCCUCCCUUCAAGCCGCAAUCCGAACUCAUCAGUACUGCCAAUCCACCCAAGGCCAUCACUGUUGCUGUCUCGGGGUAUGUGACCACAAAGCAGACGUCAGAUUCCCCCCCAAAUGGAAGAAAAAC